AUUGAACGCCGGCGGCAUGCUUUACACAUGCAAGUCGAACGGUAACAGGCCGCAAGGUGCUGACGAGUGGCGAACGGGUGAGUAAUGCAUCGGAACGUGCCCAGUCGUGGGGGAUAACGCAGCGAAAGCUGCGCUAAUACCGCAUACGAUCUAUGGAUGAAAGCGGGGGACCGUAAGGCCUCGCGCGAUUGGAGCGGCCGAUGUCAGAUUAGGUAGUUGGUGGGGUAAAGGCUCACCAAGCCAACGAUCUGUAGCUGGUCUGAGAGGACGACCAGCCAUACUGGGACUGAGACACGGCCCAGACUCCUACGGGAGGCAGCAGUGGGGAAUUUUGGACAAUGGGCGCAAGCCUGAUCCAGCAAUGCCGCGUGAAGGAAGAAGGCCUUCGGGUUGUAGACUGCUUUUGUACGGAACGAAAAGGCUCUGGAUAAUACCUGGGGCUCAUGACGGUACCGUAAGAAUAAGCACCGGCUAACUACGUGCCAGCCGCCGCCGUAAGAC
rnacentral:rRNA from 1 species